AUAUUCUGAAUGAAUUAUAUAAAAAAUAAAAUAUUCUGAACAUUAAAGAAAUAAAAGCACAGGUUUUUUUGUCACCCUCUUCAAAACCCUAGACCAUCCCUAUUUGCUAUCAAAGUGGCGAUUUCUUUCUAUUUCUGAUUUUUCACUGCCAUUUUCUUGCUUAUUUCCUCAAUCAAAGAGAUGAUUUAGUUCACCCACCACUGAUAUCUGUCGUUAGUCGACUAUUUUGUUCACGGCUUCUCAUUGGUGCAGAGCUUUUCUUCUUGGGUUCGAAAAAUCAUAUACCUUCAGAUUAUGGAUGUUAACAAAUCACCAAGUUCUUUCAGUGCGGCAUUUGAUGGUACUACAAUGAUGGGAUCAGUAUUCAGCUUAUGAGCUUUGGGCUAGGAUUGAGGGUUUGAAGACUUUCAAGAGAUGCAGUUUUGAAGACAUAACAUGUUCACGAGUUGGCUAUCAUUUUACUAGGACUAUUGGUCAAUACAAUGUAUUAUAGGGAUUUUAAGGACCAUUUUUCUCGUCCUUAAAAGCCAUUUUUCUUGUAGUGUCAAUAAGGAACCGGGAUCAACAAAUCAAGAGAUUUUAUCUUUUAUAGAAAUUGUACCUAAAGUAGGACUCCUCUACUAUAUAAAAGGGGUCCGAUAAUUCAUUCAACAUGUUGUAACACGCAUUCCAAAGCAAUACAUUAUUAUUUCUCUCUUUAA